UACAGAGGGGGCAAGCGUUGUUCGGAAUUACUGGGCGUAAAGGGCGCGUAGGCGGCCCGCUAAGUCGAACGUGAAAUCCCCGGGCUCAACCCGGGAACUGCGUCCGAUACUGGUGGGCUCGAAUCCGGGAGAGGGAUGCGGAAUUCCAGGUGUAGCGGUGAAAUGCGCAGAUAUCAGGAAGAACACCAAUGGCGAAAGCAGCUCUCUGGGACGGUACUGACGCUGAGACGCGAAAGCGUGGGGAGCGAACAGG
rnacentral:rRNA from 1 species